rnacentral:rRNA from 1 species
AACGAACGCUGGCGGCAUGCCUAACACAUGCAAGUCGAACGAAGCCCCGACCUCGGUUGGACGCUUAGUGGCGCACGGGUGCGUAACGCGUGGGAAUCUGCCCUUGGGUUCGGAAUAACAGUUAGAAAUGACUGCUAAUACCGGAUGAUGUCUUCGGACCAAAGAUUUAUCGCCCAAGGAUGAGCCCGCGUAGGAUUAGGUAGUUGGUGGGGUAAAGGCUCACCAAGCCGACGAUCCUUAGCUGGUCUGAGAGGAUGAUCAGCCACACUGGGACUGAGACACGGCCCAGACUCCUACGGGUGGCAG